rnacentral:rRNA from 1 species
UACGGGGGGGGUAAGCGUUGUUCGGAAUUACUGGGCGUAAAGGGCUCGUAGGCGGCCCACUAAGUCAUACGUGAAAUCCCUCAGCUUAACUGGGGAACUGCGUGUGAUACUGGAUGGCUUGGAUUUGGGAGAGGGAUGCGGAAUUCCAGGUGUAGCGGUGAAAUGCGUAGAUAUCUGGAGGAACACCGGUGGCGAAGGCGGCAUCCUGGACCAAUAUUGACGCUGAGGAGCGAAAGCCAGGGGAGCAAACGGG